UACGGAGGCGCUAGCGUUGUUCGGAAUCACUGGGCGUAAAGCGCGUGUAGGCGGCCGAGCAAGUCGGUUGUGAAAUCCCGAGGCUCAACCUCGGAACUGCAUUCGAAACUGCUCGGCUCGAGUCCCGGAGAGGAUGGCGGAAUUCCCGGUGUAGGGGUGAAAUCCGUAGAUAUCGGGAGGAACACCAGUGGCGAAGGCGGCCAUCUGGACGGUGACUGACGCUGAGACGCGAAAGCGUGGGGAGCAAACAGG
rnacentral:rRNA from 1 species